GAAAUGCGAUAAUUAAUGUGAAUUGCAGAAUUCAGUGAAUCAUCGAGUCUUUGAACGCACAUUGCGCCCCCUGGUAUUCCGGGGGGAAUGCCUGUCCGAGCGUCAUUGCUGCCCUCAAGCACGGCUUGUGUGUUGGGCUUCCGUCCCUGGCAACGGGGACGGGCCCAAAAGGCAGUGGCGGCACCAUGUCUGGUCCUCGAGCGUAUGGGGCUUUGUCACCCGCUCCCGUAGGUCCAGCUGGCAGCUAGCCUCGCAACCAAUCUUUUUAACCAGGUUGACCUCGGAUCAGGUAGGGAUACCCGCUGAACUUAAGC
rnacentral:misc_RNA from 1 species